ACUGAAAUAUGGAGAACCAUCACCCUCUGUAUUCCGCAUGCCUACUAGAGAAAGAUCAGUGCCAGACACCUGCCAUUGGUUCGUAAUCAAUCCAUCAACGUGCCCAUUUGCAUAUGGUAAUGGAUUAGCUUGUGGAAUAAAUUCCCUUAUUGUUUCGAAAUGGGUGCCAAAAGAGCUGUAACUCCGCUGAAACCCACCAUCACGAUGACUCCUAGCACGCUCAAAUCUGCAAGAGCUGCUGGCUGAAGAAGCCAAUUCACCUGAUAUGCCCACAUCACCUGGAAAAGAGCAUUGCCGAUUUAAGAAGUGUGGGCCAUUGUUAAGAGACUGGAAGACACUGCUUGCCUCAGCUACCUUCCCAAUGCAAUGUUCAUCAUCAAGCAGUUCAUUGAUGAUAUCAAUAUGUGGGAACUCAUC
rnacentral:misc_RNA from 1 species